UUGCCAGAUCCACCCCUAAACCAUAUUCCCAAGUGCCACAUCCACAUAUUUUGACAGAGAUUCCACCACUGCCCUGGGCAGCCUGUGCCAGGACUGGACAACCCUUUUGGCGAAGAAAUUUUCCCUAAUAUCCCUGGCGCAACUUGAAGUUGUUUCCACUCUUCCUGUUCUUUGCUCCCUGGGAGCAGACCCUGAUCCCCACCUGGCUGCACGCUCUUGUCAUGGAGUUGUAGAGAGCCAGGAGGACCCUCUGAGCCUCCUUUCCUCCAGGUUGAGCCCCUCCAGCUCCCUCCGCUCCUCCAGAACUUCCCCAGCCCAGUUCCCUUCCCCAGACACACUCCAGCCCCUCAAUGUCUGUAUUGUCACAAGGUGCCCAGAACUGACAGCAGCAUUCAGGUUGCCUCAGCAAUGCUCAGUUCAGAAGGAUAACUCUAGGGGAUGACUCUGGAAUUUCAGCUGGCUGAGCCCACAGUCAAUGCAGAGAAUGAUGCAGCUGAGGGGUCUUUGCCUCAGGGACUGUGGCACACUCAGAGCCUGGCAGGUUCUGCAGAAACAGCCUGAGAUGCUGAGGGCCCCCUUCACCCAAGCACAGCGCAAAGAGCUCCCUGUGUGAGCCCAGCAGCUCUGCCAGAGCUCCCUGGCCUUUGGGAGAUGUUUCCCUCCAGCCCUGCUCUGGGUACUCUUUCCUCACCACCUUCACAUUUUCCUCGUCACGAGGCAGCAUCCCUGGAGCAGACACAGCAAGGGCUGGUGGAGCUUUGACACAUCUCAGGAGGAGCAUUAAUAGCACAGAACUGGAGGCUGUUCUGCUGGAGGCCUUUGGCACCUUCAAUAAUCAUUUCCCAGGCAAUUCAUUACCCAGCUGAAAUUAUUCCUCAGGGAAUGAUACAGGUAAUUCUUUUCUGUUGAGUUGGAAUAACUUGCAGGAGACCCACACAAAACAAUCUAUGACAAAAGAGUCUUAGAAUUAGUUCCUCUGGCAUAUUUUUAAGUGGAGUCAUCUCAUUGAAGUUGUCUGGAAUCACAGGAAGAUUGUCCCAGGGACAAAGGGAGAAAAUUUGAAGGAAAGUGGGAAAAAAACAUGAAGUUAGGGGAAGAAGAGUAUUUUGAUAUAAACAAAGUGACAAGGGCCAAUUCUGUAAUCAAAAGUUAUUUCCUUGUCACGGUGCAAUGAAUGGGGACUAAAAUAAGGGAGAAAAAGCCUGAGAAAUGUGGUAGCUGAACUAUGGCAAAGCAAGCCAAGUUUUAUCACAAGAAUUGAAUGUUUUGUCUCUUUCUGUUUAUUUCCCAAGCUCCAAAAUAAUCCAUCAGUAGGAAACCAGUACCACAUCCUCCCACCAUCUCUGCAUUGUCAUCCAAAUUCAAAGUGGGCGUGAUAUUUCCCAGAUCAAAUGAUCUCAGCAGUGAGCUGAGCUACACUGAAGACAGCUUUGAGUAAGGGAGCAACAGAUCUCAUGGAAGGUGCUUUGGGCAAGGCAUUUUUGACUUGAAGGUGGCAGAUUUGUGCCAUGCUGCCUGUGCUUCCCAAAAAUACCUCAUCGCACCAGAAAAGAAGAGCGAGGGAAAAGCUGCCAGAAUUCAAGGGGCUUCUGCACAAGGAUUGUUUGUUGGUUUGGGCAAAGGAGACCAGAGUUACAAAAUCACAAAGUCACAGACAGUGCAAGGUUGGAAGCAACAACAGGGGGUUCAUCUGCUCCAGGAUGUGUAAUAUGUUUGCACACCCCUACAUUGGGAGGGGAGGUGUGAGAAAUGCAAGACAAGAUGAGAGACAGGAUGAGAGUUUGAAAUGAGACCAGAAAAACAGAGAAAUAGCCCAGAAAUGCCCCUGAAUUAGCCCUGGAAUGGGGCUCACUAGGAGCAAAGGCAGAGCUCUGCAAACCUGCCAUGGUUAUCCCCUCUAUGAAUUGUGGGUGAGGAAUAGCGAGCUAGGCACAGGAAUGGUCCUGGGGGUUUAGUGGAUCCAAUAUCAAGCAGAACUCUUCUAAACCUGUUUCUUGGGGAGCUUGAGUAAUACCUUUCACAAAGUUGUAGCCUUUCCCACCUCUUCCCUACAGCAGGCAGGAAGCCUGAGACAUUUAAAUUAACUGUGCACAUUACAAAUUCCUAAGCAGCCAGAGGUUCCUGUUUCUUGUGCCAGAAGUAGUGCCUGGGGGCUGCUUGGUGAACCAGGGAAUACCCGGAGCAACAUGGAAAUGAUGUUUAGUGUUAGUUUACUAUGUUGGGUUUUUUUCAGGUUCCCUAAUCUGGGUCACAGUGUUGCUCCCCUUUGUGUGGGAUUGCCAGGUUGGCAGCAAGGAUGCAGGAAGCUGGGGAUGCUCUAAGCUGUUCAUGCCAUGAACUUUAGCAGAUAAAAGCCCAGAUCUAAACCAUCCCCUCCUCCAGCAAUGUCCAUAACUGUAGGGCUCAGCUGGGCAUUCCCAUCACAAUGUGGAGGGCAGUGCUGAGGCUGAGCUUUGACAUCACUGCUCUUCUAUUCUUUCAUCUUACAACCCCCUCACAUAAGGAAGAGGGAGCUAUAAAAAGGGCCUUUGGCCCACUGCAUCCAGUGGGCAGCUGGGUUUCUUUGUGCCUUGGUGCCAAGUGUUUUUCCCCUUCUGUCUGUUAAAGGGUAACCCAGUAAAUACAUGGCAGAAAAUAAUUGGAGCCAUUAGUCAUCCCAAAACCCUGAAAUAAGGCACCUGCAGGCAGAGCCUGAGCCUUUUACAGUAACUGUACCCGUGGAAAUUGCUACGCAGAUUAGAUGCUUACUGACUUCUCCCUCCCAUCAGCCUUUGCUGAGCCAAGGAGAAGGAGCCUGGGUUUCAGAGAAUCACAAAAUCAUCCAGGUUGGAAGAGACCUCCAAAGUCAUUGAGUCGAACCUGUAACCAAUCACUACCUUUACGCUGUUGAGGUAGGACGAGAAUGAACAGACUUUGCUUAGAAGGUUGUGAGAGUAUUGCUCUGAUUUAUUUUAAAAUGCAUUGCUCUUUAUACAGAGCUUCAUCUAGGCCAGUUCUAUUGGUCCUGAAGUGAAAACAAGCCACACCAUUGGAGUAGAGUUCAUGAUGCACAGUGAUAGAACUUAACUGUAAACAAUGUGAACAACAAGAGAUAAAAAACCUUAUUUACAUUCUUUCCCAACAGUUUCCCAGGCUUCUGCCUGGUUAGAAACUUUCCGUUUCUCUCUUUGACUGAAUCUGAGACCUACACCACCUUGUUACCCAAGCCAGAGCCCUGAGUGUCAUGUCCAGGCCUUCCUGGGACACCUCCAGGGAUGGGAACACUAUCACCUCCCUGGGCAGCCCCUUCCAAGACCUGACCACCCUUUCCAUGAAGAAAUUCUUCCUAAUGUCCCGCUUAAAUCUCCCUUGGAGGCCAUUUCCUCUUGUUCUGCUGUUAUCUGGGAGCAGAGCCUGACCCCCACCUGGUAGUACCCUCCUAUCAUGGAAUUGUGCAGAGCCAGAAGGGCACCCUGAGCCUCCUUUUCUCCAGGCUGAGUUCCUUCCCAGCUCCCUGGGGCUCCAGCUCCUUCCAAGGUCUGUUCCCUUCCCAGCCCCUCAAUGUCUCUCUCACCAUGAGGGGCCCAGAAUUGAACAAAAAACAAAAAACUUGAGGUGUGACCUCAGCAGUUCCUAGCACAGGGGAACACUCACUGCCCUGGUCCUGCUGCCAUGCUACUUUUGAUACAAACUUUUUGUUGUGGGUCAUCCAGCCAUGCUGAAGAAUUCAGCUCGAGAGCAAAGUGCUUUAAAAUCAGCACCUCAAACACAUGAGGAUGCAUGGGCAGAGCCACCUCUACCUCUGUGAACUGUGGUCAGUAGAGGGGAAUGCUUUGAAAUUGCUUUGCAACCCAAAGGAAAAAUCAGAUGUCAGGUCUUGACUUGAAAAUAGAAAUAUCCAGGGCUUCCUGCCAUGGCACAGCUGCCUUCUUUCUUUUUCCUUCCCAUAUGGGAAGCAUAUAAAACUAGAAACUGUUUUAACCCUGAAUCAAAAGAAAUAUCCCUAGUGAUGCAGCCCAGGCAGGGGGUGUGAGAAAAAAAAAAAAAA
rnacentral:lncRNA from 1 species